AUCCAGCUGAUGAGUCUUAAAUGGGACGAGACGCGCGUUCUAGAU
rnacentral:hammerhead_ribozyme from 1 species